AAAAAGGGCUUCUGUCGUGAGUGGCACACGUGGGGCAGCUCGUAUGCUCUUCGUGCGGGAUUGACAUCAAAACAUGCCGUGGAGCCAGAAAUUGCUUUCUCUUGUGGCCCCUAACUUAGCAUGGAAAGUCUUUUAGUUAGGAUAGCU